GAUGAACGCUGGCGGCGUGCCUAAUACAUGCAAGUCGAGCGAACGGACGAGAAGCUUGCUUCUCUGAUGUUAGCGGCGGACGGGUGAGUAGCACGUGGAUAACCUACCUAUAAGACUGGGAUAACUUCGGGAAACCGGAGCUAAUACCGGAUAAUAUUUUGAACCGCAUGGUUCAAAAGUGAAAGACGGUCUUGCUGUCACUUAUAGAUGGAUCCGCGCUGCAUUAGCUAGUUGGUAAGGUAACGGCUUACCAAGGCAACGAUGCAUAGCCGACCUGAGAGGGUGAUCGGCCACACUGGAACUGAGACACGGUCCAGACUCCUACGGGAGGCAGCAGUAGGGAAUCUUCCGCAAUGGGCGAAAGCCUGGCGGAGCAACGCCGCGUGAGUGAUGAAGGCCUUCGGAUCGUAAAACUCUGUUAUUAGGGAAGAACAUAUGUGUAAGUAACUGUGCACAUCUUGACGGUACCUAAUCAGAAAGCCACGGCUAACUACGUG
rnacentral:rRNA from 1 species